rnacentral:rRNA from 2 species
CGAACGCUGGCGGCGUGCCUAAUACAUGCAAGUCGAACGAACUCUGGUAUUGAUUGGUGCUUGCAUCAUGAUUUACAUUUGAGUGAGUGGCGAACUGGUGAGUAACACGUGGGAAACCUGCCCAGAAGCGGGGGAUAACACCUGGAAACAGAUGCUAAUACCGCAUAACAACUUGGACCGCAUGGUCCGAGUUUGAAAGAUGGCUUCGGCUAUCACUUUUGGAUGGUCCCGCGGCGUAUUAGCUAGAUGGUGGGGUAACGGCUCACCAUGGCAAUGAUACGUAGCCGACCUGAGAGGGUAAUCGGCCACAUUGGGACUGAGACACGGCCCAAACUCCUACGGGAGGCAGCAGUAGGGAAUCUUCCACAAUGGACGAAAGUCUGAUGGAGCAACGCCGCGUGAGUGAAGAAGGGUUUCGGCUCGUAAAACUCUGUUGUUAAAGAAGAACAUAUCUGAGAGUAACUGUUCAGGUAUUGACGGUAUUUAACCAGAAAGCCACGGCUAACUACGUGCCAGCAGCCGCGGUAAUACGUAGGUGGCAAGCGUUGUCCGGAUUUAUUGGGCGUAAAGCGAGCGCAGGCGGUUUUUUAAGUCUGAUGUGAAAGCCUUCGGCUCAACCGAAGAAGUGCAUCGGAAACUGGGAAACUUGAGUGCAGAAGAGGACAGUGGAACUCCAUGUGUAGCGGUGAAAUGCGUAGAUAUAUGGAAGAACACCAGUGGCGAAGGCGGCUGUCUGGUCUGUAACUGACGCUGAGGCUCGAAAGUAUGGGUAGCAAACAGGAUUAGAUACCCUGGUAGUCCAUACCGUAAACGAUGAAUGCUAAGUGUUGGAGGGUUUCCGCCCUUCAGUGCUGCAGCUAACGCAUUAAGCAUUCCGCCUGGGGAGUACGGCCGCAAGGCUGAAACUCAAAGGAAUUGACGGGGGCCCGCACAAGCGGUGGAGCAUGUGGUUUAAUUCGAAGCUACGCGAAGAACCUUACCAGGUCUUGACAUACUAUGCAAAUCUAAGAGAUUAGACGUUCCCUUCGGGGACAUGGAUACAGGUGGUGCAUGGUUGUCGUCAGCUCGUGUCGUGAGAUGUUGGGUUAAGUCCCGCAACGAGCGCAACCCUUAUUAUCAGUUGCCAGCAUUAAGUUGGGCACUCUGGUGAGACUGCCGGUGACAAACCGGAGGAAGGUGGGGAUGACGUCAAAUCAUCAUGCCCCUUAUGACCUGGGCUACACACGUGCUACAAUGGAUGGUACAACGAGUUGCGAACUCGCGAGAGUAAGCUAAUCUCUUAAAGCCAUUCUCAGUUCGGAUUGUAGGCUGCAACUCGCCUACAUGAAGUCGGAAUCGCUAGUAAUCGCGGAUCAGCAUGCCGCGGUGAAUACGUUCCCGGUC